UACGUAGGGCGCAAGCGUUGUCCGGAAUUAUUGGGACGUAAGAGCUCGUAGGCGGCUUGUUGCGUCGGUUGUGAAAGCCCGGGGCUUAACCCCGGGUCUGCAGUCGAUACGGGCAGGCUAGAGUUCGGUAGGGGAGACUGGAAUUCCUGGUGUAGCGGUGAAAUGCGCAGAUAUCAGGAGGAACACCGGUGGCGAAGGCGGGUCUCUGGGCCGUAACCUGACGCUGAGGAGCGAAAGCGUGGGGAGCGAACAGG
rnacentral:rRNA from 1 species